rnacentral:rRNA from 1 species
UGCAGAAUCCCGUGAACCAUCGAGUUUUUGAACGCAAGUUGCGCCCAAAGCCAUCCGGUUGAGGGCACGCCUGCCUGGGCGUCA